GCAUAUGUAAGCUGAUUCUACAGUCUAUAUGAAAAAUAAAGGAAUUAAGAUGUUAAAACAAUUUUUAAAAAGAAGAAUAGCAAAUUUGGAGGAAACACUGAGUUUUAGACUUACUCUAAAUCUACAGUAACCCAGAGAGUGUAGGAUUAGUAAAGAGACAGACAAAGAUCAAUAGAACAGAAUAAAGAAUUCAGAAAUAAAGGCAUACAAUAAGGUCAACUGAUUUUUUGCAACAAUGCAAAUUCAAUUCAGUGAGGAUAUGAUACUCAGUUGUUGUUUAAAUGCUAAGUUGUGUCCAGCUCUUUGUGACAUCAUGGAAUUUAGCCUGGCAGUUUCCUCUGCCCAUGGGAUUUCCCAGGCAAGAAUUCUGGAGUGAGUUGCCAUUUCCUUUUCUAGGGAGUCUUCUCAACCCAGGGAUUGAACCCAUGUCUCCUGCACUGGUUCUCUCUGUUCCCACCUUUCCACCUGGUCUUUUAUGCUAGCUUCUUUUCCCUCCAAUCCAUCCUUCAUGUGGCAAUUACAACGACUGUCCUCAAGCACAAUUCUCAAGUACCUGGGACUUCCCAGGUGGCGCAACGGUAAAGAAUCCACCUGCCAAUGAAGGAGAUGCAAGAGAUGAGGAUUCGAUCCCUGGGUCGAGAUGAUCCCCUGGAGUAGAAAUAGCAACCCACUCCAGUAUUCUUGCCUGGAAGACUCCAUGGACAGAGGAGACUGUCAGGCUACAGUCCAUGGGGUCACAAAGAGUCUGACGUGACUGAGCGCACAUACCACAUUCUUGUCUCAAUACCAACAAUGUCAGUACUUUGCUAAAAACAAAAACUCAAACACAAAGAGUCUGGAUUCUUAUAGGAAAAACAAAGUGCUAAUUACUUAACAGGACAGGGCUUUCUGGGAUAAGGCUCCAGCCCAUCUGUUUAGCCUCACUUUCUAAUUCUCCAGCUACGGGAAAUCCAACUACACAAUGUCUUCCCUAAUUGCACAGAAGAGGUUGCCAUUGUCAUGAAAGGUAAAUAAGUUCAAAUACAUAAAUUGCUUUCAACAGCCCCAAGUGCAUAAGUUCUUAAUGAGCAUAAGUUGUUGUUUUUAACAUUUCUGAGUGUUUUCUUUCCUGGUAGCCUAAGUACUCACCACCUCAUCUCUUUUGGAUAAAAUGCUACUUCUUCAAUAAAGCCCAGUUCCAAUGUUGCCUUCAAAGGCUAAGCAAUCUUUUCUAAUUGCUGAGUUGGAAUCGCUCUUCAUUUCGUCCACCUAUACCUCUAUAUAUCUCAUGUGGCACUUAAAACACUCUACUGAACAGUGGCAGGAUGAAUAGAGAAUUUUCUCCAUACACACAAUCUUUGUAUGGGGCAAGAUUUGAGGAUCAUGAAAUAUCUAAAUGAAGCUGAUGCCACUGGUUCAAGCAGCCAUGAAGACCAUUCUGAGAUACUGUGCUCGUCCUUGUAUUGUGAACUGGAAGGAGCCAGAUGAGAAUUAGAGAAACAAUACCAUAACAAUUACUUGAUUAAGAAUAAGGUUGAAGUCAGCCUGAAAGGAAGGAAAGGCUUUUCUCACAAUGAACCUGUGCUCUGCUCAGAAACAAACACUGUGGUGAAGUGUGCUUGCUCUUAAAUAAUUCAUCAGGAAAUUAGAUGAUUCCUAAUUUUCUGCCUCAAUGAUGGAAAAAUUGACUCUCUUUCUCUUAGCCCACAAAAGAGCUCAGCUCAUCUACCAGCCCCUUUGGAGUCACCAAAAUUGAGGUAGAACCAAGUUUUUGACCCAAACCUGAAGUCUAAAGUUUUACAACACAAAAUAAUUUCUGUCUUGAUGGGGAGUGGGAGUGGGGGACACCGAAACCACCAGAGGAUGCCUGGGAAGAGGGAAGAGUCAUUCUAACCCUUGUGAGGCCCUCCUCAUGAGUGUGGUCCAAGGAGAUGAGUUAAUCAGAUUUAAUUACAAUUAAUCAAUUAAUCACAAUUCCCAGCCCUCUUUGCCAUUGCUCCAUGGAAUCUAUUCAAUCCUUCAGUUAAAAAAAAAAAAAUAGUGAAUUUCCCUUUUAGUUCAUUUUAUGUCAGGUCUGAAGAGGAAUGCAAGAAGUGACCAGUAUCUAGCCCCUGACCAACCUAUAGGCUCCCACUGAGUUGAAUUAAGGCAGCACUCAUGACCUACCUGGUUUCAGAUUUUUCAGUGAAUCCACGAUCCACAC
ensembl:lncRNA